rnacentral:misc_RNA from 1 species
UCCGAUUUGUCACCGGCAGUCACCUUAGAGUGCCCAACUGAAUGCUGGCAACUAAGGUCAAGGGUUGCGCUCGUUACGGGACUUAACCCAACAUCUCACGACACGAGCUGACGACAACCAUGCACCACCUGUCACCGCUGUCCCCGAAGGGAAAGAUCUAUCUCUAGACCGGUCAGCGGGAUGUCAAGACCUGGUAAGGUUCUUCGCGUUGCUUCGAAUUAAACCACAUGCUCCACCGCUUGUGCGGGCCCCCGUCAAUUCCUUUGAGUUUCAGCCUUGCGGCCGUACUCCCCAGGCGGAGUGCUUAAUGCGUUAACUGCAGCACUAAAGGGCGGAAACCCUCUAACACUUAGCACUCAUCGUUUACGGCGUGGACUAC